UGAAGACCUGGAAAAAUCCUGCCUUCCUGGGAUACCACAAACAGCACAUGAGAAUGGGGUGUGGACAGAAACCCACAGUGGACACGCAUGAAGCAUGUACCCCCUACUUCACACACAUGUCCUAGGAUCCUGUCACAGGAGAAGAGACACCUCCAAAGAAGAGUCCAAGGGGUUCUCAGAGUGAAGGAGGAACUUGAUUCAGGACCAGCAGGGCUCUUGGUAUACAUGACAGAAAAGAAUUUCAGGAUGCGCCUGUCAAAGGCAGAGACUGUUACUUAGGAAUUUCCAUAGCAGUUUUCUUGCGCCUGUGCAUUGCCUUCAAGCACAGGUGGAGCCAAGGGGUGCUGCUUAGUAGUUGCAAUUGUUCCAGGGUGCUUUCUGCAUUUUAAUGGCUCACGGGUAUUUCCUUUGAGUCAGAGUAAGUCUUCUUCUCUCCCUCCCUCCUUCUCUCCCUCUCCCUCUCUCCAUCCCAAUCCCUUAUCUCAGGCUAUCACAUUUCACUUCCAAAACACAAUUCCAGGAACAUGCCCAGGGUGGGGACAGGGAAAGAGAUAAUGAUAGCUACUGAACCCUGGUGCCAAGGCCUUG
rnacentral:lncRNA from 1 species